rnacentral:rRNA from 1 species
UACGGAGGGUGCAAGCGUUAUCCGGAUUCACUGGGUUUAAAGGGUGCGUAGGAGGGCAGGUAAGUCAGUGGUGAAAUCUCCGAGCUUAACUUGGAAACUGCCGUUGAUACUAUCUGCCUUGAAUAUUGUGGAGGUGAGCGGAAUAUGUCAUGUAGCGGUGAAAUGCUUGGAUAUGACAUAGAACACCAAUUGCGAAGGCAGCUCGCUACACAUAUAUUGACUCUGAGGCACGAAAGCGUGGGGAUCAAACAGG